CGCGUAGGCGGGUUUUCAAGUCUGUGGUGAAAUCCUCCAGCUUAACUGGAGAAGUGCCGUGGAUACUGGAGACCUCGAGGAGGGUAGGGGCAUCUGGAACAGCCGGUGGAGCGGUGAAAUGCGUUGAUAUCGGCUGGAACUCCGAUGGCGAAGGCAAGGUGCUGGACCCUCUCUGACGCUGAGGCGCGAAAGCCAGGGGAGCGAACG
rnacentral:rRNA from 1 species